GGGUAUUUCCUCAGCUAUUAGCAGAGAGCGCCAUUCAUCAGCCCGCUGUUAGCACGCUUAACCUUUACUCCGAAGAACCUUAUCGAUUCCUCUUUAAGCCAAAGACUCAAAACAAAUGUUCUGACCUGAGAGCAGUCGCAGGAUUUCGUCAGACUGAAUGAUUAAAGUCACAAUAAUCAAGGUAAACAGAACAGAAUGGUUCACAAACAUGGAGCGUUUCGUUUGCUCCAUGCUAUGACCUCGCUUUCACCCCUUUAAUGAAGGGAAUGAUGGAAAAGAAAGGGAUGGAGGGAUAUCAGAAGGACUCAUUGUUUUGGACCAAACACCAUGAGGUCAGACUGAAGUCCUGAGGCCAUAUGACGAACAGAAUGAGUUCAUCUUUACACAUCAAAAGUCUUUCCCAAUCUGUCGACAUUCAGCUUUAUUCAACUUACUGCAAAAGAGCUGAUGACAGCAAGGAAAAGAACAAAGGGUGGGGCCAAGAGCCGUGGGAAUGGAGUGAGGACGGUGGCACGAGUGCUAAUGAGCGUCACCUGCGCACCACACCGGUCUCGAGUCCCACGGAGGAGCUCCAGAAGGAUAAAAGGAGGAGUGACAACAAUGCAAGAUGAGAGAGGACCAGGCCUGGACUUUAUGUUGGUGUUUUAUAAUGUUUAUAUGCAGGAGUCGUCCGAGAGGGGCUGCCUCUUUACUUUCAUUUUGUUGUUUAUUUUAUAAUUAAAAUUAUGUUGAACGCUCA